rnacentral:tRNA from 1 species
AUAGAUUUAGUAUAAUUUUAUUAUGUUAAGUUUAGGUCUUAAAGAUUAAAAUCUAUU